rnacentral:rRNA from 1 species
UGUAGUCAUAUGCUUGUCUCAAAGAUUAAGCCAUGCAUGUCUAAGUAUAAGCACUUUAUACUGUGAAACUGCGAAUGGCUCAUUAAAUCAGUUAUAGUUUAUUUGAUAAUACCUUACUACUUGGAUAACCGUGGUAAUUCUAGUGCUAAUACAUGCUUUAAACCCCGACUUCUGGAAGGGGUGUAUUUAUUAGAUAAAAAACCAAUCGUAGCAAUACGUUUUCUGGUGAAUCAUGAUAACUAUUCGAAUCGCAUGGCUUUGCCGGCGAUGGUUCAUUCAAAUUUCUGCCCUAUCAACUUUCGAUGGUAGUAUAGAGGACUACCAUGGUUACAACGGGUAACGGGGAAU